AAGGAGGAUUUAGUAGUAAAUUAA
rnacentral:piRNA from 2 species